rnacentral:miRNA from 1 species
CGUCCUCGAUCGCCAGACCUC